UCAAGCUGCAUGAUGGCUGCCCUGGAUUGAUUUUUAUAUUCCUUUCUCCCCGUGAGUGUGUGAGUGUGUACUCCACAAUUUUUAUUUUUAUAUAUAUAUAUAUAUAUAAAAUAAUGUUUGGACUGAAAUUGCUGCUUUUCACAGAAGAGAGAGAAUCUCAACCUGCACUGAUUCUGAUCUGCUCUGAUGUGAAUCGGUGUUGGGAGCGUUGCCCGGCUCAUAGAACAUUUAAAAGGGAGGAAAAAACAACAACACAAGCGUGUAGUAGUAAUUCAUACGAGUGUCAUGCAGCCAUAUGCCCGGGCCAGAUUGGUGGUGUAUUUUGGACAGCUGAGCUCUGAUGAUUCACUGCUGGGCCUUGUAUAGACCAAAGCUAAGUGUACAUUUUGCCUCGGGCUACUCCGCUUGCCUCCACAGAUACACUUAGCUGUAAAAAGAAAAAAGAAAAAGGAAAAAAUCCACUCGUUUUGCAUUUUAAAAACCCCUCAUCUGUCUCGCUUAUUCACCCUCGACUUCGCUGCUUUACCUGCUCCUGCUCAUCCUCUGGUGCGUGCGCGCAAGGCUUUCGCUUGUCAAAUCAUCUCGACUUUGUUUUAAGAACAUCAAAUCAAACCCGGCGUGUGCUUUUCAGAAACGGAGGGCUUACAAUAUGGAAAAAAUAUAUAUAUAUAUAUAUAUAUAAUAUAAAAAAUAAAAAGAAAGAGGCAGAGCAUGGAACAUCGGCGGCAGAAUGAAGACGUAAGGGGAAAAAAAAGAUCACGCUUUAAUGCACAAAGUAAGAGUGAUAGAGCAUGACAGAACACGUCGGAGGCCAGUGAAUGAAAAUAGGUUUGAGGUUUGGUGGCAACUGAGGAUUUGAGGAGUACAUUUUCCAUGUUGGAGUCUGAUGGAGAACAGAUCAGAGCCUGGAAUAAAAAAUAUAUAUUUAAGAAAGAGAGAGAAAAAAAAAGGAAAUUACUUCUCACUGGUGUUUCUUUAUUUAUUUUAUUUAUCGGAUGAAUGGAGGCCAGGUGUAGCCUGCAGGUAUAAACCUUAUCUUCAAUCAGUUUAAACACACUUUCACUGUUUUUGGUUCAUUUAGCUGGAUUAUUAAACACUUUUAGGGAAAAAAACAAAUGCAUCCACAGGUAAAGCACAGGUGUAUCAUCCUAGUUCACUGUAAAAGGAACUGAUCCUUAUUUAGUUCUCAUUUAUUAAUUAAUUUAUUUGAUGGUGACGAACAUGAGGAGGAGGAGGGAGUUAAAGGUGAGAGCUAACAACAGCUAACAACAGCGGCUAAUGGCAGCUGUUAGGCCGCAUCCACGAAAUUCAUAAAAAAAUGAACAAUAUAUAAAUAAAAAAGUACUGAUGCUAGUGAAAUUGAGUUCACAACAGUGAAUUAAACAUAAUCUAUAUGCUUAAAUACAUUUUAAUUGGUUAUAUGUUUUAUUUUAUUUAACACAGAUGCGGCUAGCUAACUAGCUGGCUAACUAGCCUGAGAGGCUAAGCUAACUGGAACCAGCGGCAGUGAUUAGGCCUCAGCCAGCGAGGCCUCUCAGGCCUCUCUCGAUGCUAGCGCUCCACCUCAAGGUUAUAUUUAGCCUGUGACAAAUAUUUACGCCCCAGAGCAGAAACACACCUGGAGAGGAAGACGGCCGGUAAAUAAACGUGACAGGAAAGAAUGCAGGCAGUUUGCAAACAUCCUCUGCAGAAGAAGAAGAAGAAGUCAGAUGGAGAAAGCCAGUGUGAACUCAAGAACACCCAACAACAAGUAGGUAACAAAUAAAAGUGACGCCUCUGAUGAAGGGUUCUUUAUAGGCGCGGGACUAUGACAAUAUUUGCCCCUGAAAGGAACUUUUUUAUUAAUUUAAAUGGAUUUUAGUGGACGACUGAAUCAAAUAAUGGACGCACACAUCUUUUAAUGUUUAAUGGAAAAACGCUUUUAAUAGCAUUUCAUCUCAAAACAGCUGAAAAAGAAAUAAAAAAAUA